AACGAACGCUAGCGGCAGGCUUAACACAUGCAAGUCGAGCGCCCCGCAAGGGGUGCGGCAGACGGGUGAGUAACGCGUGGGAAUCUACCCAUCUCUACGGAAUAACGCAUGGAAACGCGUGCUAAUACCGUAUACGUCCUUCGGGAGAAAGAUUUAUCGGAUAUGGCUGAGCCCGCGUUGGCUUCGCUAGUUGGUGGGGUAAAGGCCUACCAAGGCGACGAUCCAUAGCUGGUCUGAGAGGAUGAUCAGCCACACUGGGACUGAGACACGGCCCAGACGCCGACGGGAGGCAGCAGGGGGGAACAUUGGACAAUGGGCGCAAGCCUGAUCCAGCCAUGCCGCGUGAGUGAUGAAGGCCCUAGGGUUGUAAAGCUCUUUCACCGGUGAAGAUAAUGACGGUAACCGGAGAAGAAGCCCCGGCUAACUUCGUGCCAGCCGCCGCGGUAAAAC
rnacentral:rRNA from 1 species